rnacentral:rRNA from 1 species
UGGGGAAUAUUGCACAAUGGGCGAAAGCCUGAUGCAGCAACGCCGCGUGAGUGAUGAAGGCCUCCGGGUUGUAAAGCUCUGUCUUCUGGGACGAUAAUGACGGUACCAGAGGAGGGAGCCACGGCUAACUACGUGCCAGCAGCCGCGGUAAUACGUAGGUGGCAAGCGUUGUCCGGAUUUACUGGGCGUAAAGGAUGCGUAGGCGGAUACUUAAGUCAGAUGUGAAAAUCCCGGGCUUAACUUGGGAACUGCAUUUGAAACUGGGUAUCUAGAGUGCGGGAGAGGAAAGUGGAAUUCCUAGUGUAGCGGUGAAAUGCGUAGAGAUUAGGAAGAACACCAGUGGCGAAGGCGACUUUCUGAACCGUAACUGACGCUGAGGCAUGAAAGCGUGGGGAGCAAACA